UCCUUUCAAUAACCUCUGCGCAGUUGAGAUUAACUUUCGUGUAAACAGGUCGUCACCACCAAGUGCACGUACGCGUGUUGCUGCGACUCAUUCACGCGCAAGUGUCGCGCAUCCGUACACGCUUGCGUACUCGAUCUGUCUCCAAUGAUAAGCUGGGAUCGAAAAUCAACUCCACAUAGUGUCUUCAAUAUUUUCUCAACAUCUACGCGUGAACACGUACACAGACAAUCAUUGACAAAAUGGAAAACAACACAUUAACAGAUGUAUCAUCUAAAUGGUAAAGUCGGUACGAAGCAAACCCCCCAUUUAGAUAUUAGUAGUUCAGAGAUGAUCGCUCAAUGUCCGAUAAUAUUGAUGGAGAACUGGAGAGAAAUAAUAAAAAAAGAAGUAAGAAAAGCUUUAAACCAAGCAAGAACUGGAAAAGUAGUCGGACUGAAUGAAGUGAACGUGGAACUGCUUAAGCUGAUCAAUAUUGAUGGCAACAACAUCCUCUUGAAGCUGUUCAAUAACAUUUACACCACUGAGAACAUUUUUGCGAACUGGCUGAGAUCCACCUUUAUCAGUCUAUCCAAGAAUUUCGAAUGCGAAACGAUGCAGUGACUAUAGGCUUAUUAGCCAUAAGGUAUGCAUUGAAAGUGUUCUUGAGAAUCCAGCACACUCGAUUAUAGAGGAAAAUAGAGGAGAAUAUUAGUGAGACUCAAUUUGGAUUUACGAACAGCCUGGGGACAAGAGAAGCUUUGUUUUCUAUGCAGGUUCUUGUUCAAAAAUGUCUAGACCAAUAGAAAAGUGUUUUUGCUUGCUUUAUUGAUUAUGAGAAAGCCUUUGACACCGUAAAACGUGACAUCUUCAUCAGUUAACUAAGACGUAUUGGGCUCGACAGUAAAGACAUCAUUAAGAAACAUCAUUAAGAAACUGUACUGGAAUCAAAAAGCUCGGAUUAAGAUAGGAGAUCACAACAUUGAGAAAAUCAAAAUGCUAAAAGAGGUGAGACAAGAAUGCAUCUUGUCACCGGCUGUCUUUAACUUGUAUUCUGAAGCUGUAUUCCAAAAAGCCUUAGAAGAAAUUGACAAGAGAAUUAAGGUUAACGGCAAGAGAAUCAACAAUAUCCGCUACGCAGAUGACACUGUUCUCGCUGACAACUUAGAGAAUCGUCAAUUGCUCAUGGACAAAAUCAACGAGAAGAGCAAAAACUUCGGGCUCAGGAUGAAUAUCCACAAGACAAAAAUCUUGGUGGUUAGCAAAAACAAAAUUGACAAUGUUGUAAUCACCUUGGAUGGAUUGAGAGCGUGUCGCGACGAAGUAGCACCGUCGGGCCGGGAAGUCGCGCGAAAUGCUGACGAUGGUAAAGCGAAGAAAAGCUGCGUACUUCAGCCACAUAUUCCAAAACAACAAGUAUAAUCUUCUGCAAUUUAUCAUCGAGGACAAAUUAGAAGAAAAACACGGAAUCAAUCAGAAAAAUUUCUUGUGGAUGCGGAAUCUGCUGGUUUUACGUCCGCGACAUGGGCGCGCUGAUACGAUGCACGCAAAAUAAAGAAAAAUACCACAUGAUGAUCGCAAACUUUCUGUAAGAAAGGGGCACCAAAAGAAGAAGUUCGAGUCAAGUAGUUUAUCAUCAGAUGUAACAACAGCGAAUCGCGUUAAUUCUAAUCUAAUAUUACAGACGUAUAUAUUCAAAUCUAAUUAAUUAAAGAGACAUUAAUAUCCUUGUGAUAUGUUCAAUUAAAUACAUUAAUUUAAAUGAUAAAAUAACCAGUUUUUUCGUCGAAACUCUUUCUUAUUACUUAAAUUCAAACAUCAUUCUCGCUUUUCAUUUCAAAAAGGCUAACAAAUUGUGCGAUUGCGUACUCUUUGGAGAAUUGUUAUAGAAUCAGAAUUUAUCAGAGUAAUGAGUUAAUGAAGUGCUAAGCAAAAGUCGUUUGAAGGCAAUCAGGUGAGUAAAAUAUCGUUUAUAAUAUCGUUCCGAAGUUUGGAAAUAUUGAAAAUGUUUUUGUGCGAGCAACACAAAGAACGCAAUUUGAGAAGAAAUUUGCUUCAAACUUGUCGACGGCGAUUCAUGCCAUCAUAUACAACUUAAGCGCAAGUUCUCCGACCGCGAGAACUACCGAACCGCUUCCGCGAAAGCAUUUCAGGAAGCAAGACAGUUGUAAUAAUAGCUCGUCUCGUUAUUAAAGUUUUAAUAUCAGCGCAAAAGUCGACGUCUUGAUAUAAAAACUUGAAAGAUGGCUGGAAAGAAGAAACGAUACUCGCUCUUGCCUAUCUUCGAUAUUAUCAAAACACUAAAAAAAGACCGACUCUUCGAGAAGAACUAACUUUUUACUCGAAAGAUGAGUGAUUGAAAUGUUUUAUCUUACCGGAAAAACGCAUGUUAACCUGUAACGCGUCUUUUUUUAAAUAAAAGUUUUGGUUGAAAACA